AGGGUAUGGCUGUUCGCCAUUUAAAGAGGUACGUGAGCUGGGUUUAAAACGUCGUGAGACAGUUUGGUCCCUAUCUUCCGUGGGCGCUGCAGAUUUGAGGAAGCCUGCUCCUAGUACGAGAGGACCGGAGUGGACGCACCUCUGGUGUAUCGGUUGUCACGCCAGUGGCAUUGCCGAGUAGCUAAGUGCGGAAGAGAUAACCGCUGAAAGCAUCUAAGCGGGAAACUCGUUUCAAGAUGAGAUCUGCCGGGGCCUUGAGCCCCCUGAAGAGUCGUUCGAGACCAGGACGUUGAUAGGCCGGGUGUGGAAGCGCAGUAAUGCGUUAAGCUAACCGGUACUAAUUGCUCGUGAGGCUUGACCCU
rnacentral:rRNA from 1 species